rnacentral:rRNA from 1 species
AUUGAACGCUGGCGGCAGGCCUAACACAUGCAAGUCGCACGAGUGGCGGACGGGUGAGUAAUGUCUGGGAAACUGCCCGAUGGAGGGGGAUAACUACUGGAAACGGUAGCUAAUACCGCAUACCAUCGGAUUUGCCCAGAUGGGAUUAGCUAGUAGGGGGGGAAACGGCUCACCUAGGCGACGAUCCCUAGCUGGUCUGAGAGGAUGACCGGCCACACGGGAAGUGGGACAGGGUCCGGACUCCUGCGGGAGGCAGCGGUGGGAAAUAUUGCACAAUGGGCGCAAGCCGGAUGCAGCCAUGCCGCGUGUAUGAGGAAGGCCUUGGGGUUGUAAAGUACUUUCAGCGAGGAGGCGUUACUCGCAGAAGAAGCACCGGCUAACUCCGUGCCAGCCGCCGCGGUAAUAC